GAGGAGGAGGAGGAGGAGGAGGAGGAGGAGAGGAAGUGAGGGACGAACAAGGGAGAAGAGGAGGAGGAGGAGGAGGAGAAUAAGGAGUUGAACAUUGCGUGGUAGUGAGGAAAGGAGGGAGAGAAGGGAGACUAGGGGGUGAGCUGAGAGAGAGAGAGAGAGAGAGAGAGAGAGAGAGAGAGAGAGAGAGAGAGAGAGAGAGAGAGAGGAGUAGAAGAAAGGGAAGUAACGAAGGGAGAAAUAAAUGAGAGAGGGAUCGAGGAAAGAGCAAUGAAGGAGGGAGGAAGAAAAGGAGAAAAGGAAGAGAGGAAGGGAGGAAAGGGAGAAUAACAGAAGGGAAUGGAGGGAGACUGAAUAAGGAAAGGGAAAGGGAGGAAGGAGAGAAGAAUAAGGAAGAGGGUAAGGGAGAAAGGGAGAAUAACGGAGGGGUUUGGAGGGAGAUUGAAUAAGGAAAGGGAGGAAGGAGAGGAGAAUAAGGAAGAGAGGAAGGGAGGAAAGGAAAGUAUUGGAGAGGGAUGGAGGGAGAUUGAAUAAGGAAGGGGAAAGGGAGGAAGGAAAGGAGAAAAUGAAGAGGGGAAGGGAGGAAAGGGGAUAUAGGGAGACUGAAAAAAGAAGGGAAAGGGAGGAAGGAGAGGAGAAAAGGAAGGGAGGAAAGGGGAAUAACAGAAGGGAAUGGAGGGAAGCUGAAAAAGGAAAGGGAGGAAGGGAGAAUAAGGGAGAGAGAAAGGGAGGAAAGGAAAGUAUCGGAGGGAGAGGAGGGAGGAAGUAUAGGAGAGGGGGGAGGUAGGGAGGAAGGGAGAGAGAGGGAGGGAGGGAUGGAAGGAAGUCAAUAUGUUCUGUCGGGGGCGUUUUUGAGAACCAGAAAGUGUUACAAAACCCUAAGGUAAAACUCUCUUCUAGGGGUGUGUAAGAGGCUUGGGGUGAGGUAGAAAGGGUUGGCACAAGAGCAAAGGGAUUGGGGUAAAAUAUGAAGGAUUGGAAGGAGAGUAAAUUUAAAGAGUUGAAUAGCUUUAAAGUAUUUGGAGUCGGGUUUAAAGGGACUGGGCUAAAGGGAUCAGGUGAGGUUUAAGUCCUGGACAGUAGUGUUGAGAAUGUUCGCUUGGGGUUCGGUAGUUUGUAAGGGCGUUAGAAAGAGGCUUAGUGAGUUCCCGAGGCUUACGUUCAUAUGCAGUGGGUUUUUAAAGGUUAGAUUGGGGUUUCAUUAACUGUAGUGAGGUUUAAAUGGUAUCAGUUGGGUUUAAGGAGUCAGAAAGAGGUUUAAGUGUUGAUAGUUUUCUUCAGAUAGUUUAUUUUGUGAGUGUGUAGGCCUAGUGGGUUUUAAAAUAUCAGAUUCAGGCCUAAAUUUUCAUAAGUGUGGAGUUAAAGACCUAGGAAGGGGUUUAAGAAUUGAUAGUUUUCUUCAGAAGGUUUAGCUUGUGAGUGUUUAGGCCUAGUGGGUUUUAAAAGAUCAGAUUAAGGCCUAAAUUUUCAUAACAGUGUAGAGUUAAAGACUUAGGAAGAGGUUUAAGUGUUGAUAGUUUUCUUCAGAUGGUUUAGUUUGUGAGUGUGUAGGCCUAGUGGGUUUUAAAAUAUCAGAUUAAGGCCUAAAUUUUCAUAACAGUGUGGAGUUAAAGACUUAGGAAGGGGUUUAAGAAUUCAUAGUAGUGUUGAGAGGGUCAGGUGUGUGUGUGUGUGUGUGUGUGUGUGUGUGUGUGUGUGUGUGUGUGUGUGUGUGCCAGGUAUAAGGGUGUAGGUGGGUGUGUUAGGGCCGGCGACUCCUAACACCCGCGAGUGUCUGCCCAAUAUUUCAUCAGGUAUUGAUCUGCUGCUCCUUCUGCUUCUGCUGCUGCUGCCUCUCCCUCCCCUGCCCUCCCCGCCUCAGCUGUCCCUCUCUGCUGCUGCUGCUCGGACGACA